AGAAUUGGCCUCUGAAAUUGGGAGAAACCUCACACCAAAAAAACACCUACUUACACAUCCUUCCAAGUCAGCUCUCAAUAGUAUUAGUGGUUUAUGUGGAUGGACGAUAACAUGAAUCCAUAUGCAUCAAAAGCAUAGCCUCUACAACAUAACAUUGCGCAUCAUGAUGCAAACCACAAUUGUGAGCUCAGUAAUUCAGCAACGAAUAU
rnacentral:misc_RNA from 1 species